rnacentral:lncRNA from 1 species
GGCAAAGAUGCAUGCAGGGUUUAUUUUUCUCCAGCAGCCCCACAGUGAUUUAGACUUAUGCUCUAUUCUUCUAUACUUCAGGUAUGUCCCUCAUUUCUCCUGGUGGUCAUCUCAACUCCAGCAUCACUCUCUACAGGAAGAGAAAGGGAAGCACAAGAGCGUGUAACACUGGAUCUGUCCUAUCAAAGGGCUUUCCAAGCUUCUGUUUGCGUCUCACAGAUCAGCCUGUUUCAAACAGCCACCGAAGUACAAGGGAAGCUAAUGCCAAUGCGGAAGGAAGGGGUACUUGCAACCAGCCUUACUGAAGUCUGACCCAUGUCCCCCAUGCUGCACCUUCUGGGAGGAUACCCGUGGGCGAGUUUCAAUAAAUACAUACACGGCAGUCGAGAUACAGAAAGUCCCCAUUUCUGUCCUUGGGCCCUUUUUAAGCAGUCAAUCCCUCCUCCCAUCUUGGCCCCAGAUAAUCACUGAUCUGUUUUCUGUCACAAUAAAUUAGUCUGCCUUUUCUGUAAUCUUUAAUG